AAGACGGCCCUACGGGUUGUAAACUGCUUUUAUACCGGAAUAAACCUCGUUAUGUAUAACGAGCUGAAUGUACGGUAAGAAUAAGGAUCGGCUAACUCCGUGC
rnacentral:rRNA from 1 species